GGGGGGGGGAUCCCAUUCUCCCCUGUCAGGUUGUGUUGUAUUUCAUUAAUGGUUAACUUUUGGGACCACAUGCCUCUUAACCUGGAAGUGCUUCAAUAAGCUGGAGGACAGUAUAGCACCUCCACAAGGCAUAUUUUUAUUUUAUUUUCUCUUUUUAAAUAUCAUUUUCAGGUUAGUCUAUGCGUUAACUGUAUCUGUCAGUGGAGGAGCGUUGGAAAAUAUUUCUGAUUUUAUUUUUUGUCAUGGAUCAUAGAGAACAAAACACUGCUGAACUAAUGGGCAGCCAGGGUGUAUUAUGUGUUACUAAUAAAUAUGGUAUCUGUAAUCAUGAAAUGUUAUAUUUGUAUUGUUGCUAAUUUGAAAGCUGAAUCAUAACAUGUCAGAGUGCUGGGUUUGUAUGGAGAGCAUUUAAAGCAUCACUACAGCAGAGGCCCCCAACCCCAUUCCUCUGAGCCACUCAGUGACUGAUGUCAUGAACUAACUGAGAAUCUGUUGUGUUGACAUCAUGCAGUCCCUUUAAACUUAUGGCUAAAGAGGAAUGCUUUGUGUUUGCUGGUUUUUCAAUCAUGUCUGAAUCUGUUUCUACUGGUGGAAAAGGGGAGGGGAAGGGUUAAUCACAAUGGAAAUCUACCUCCAUCUCAAUUACACGCGCGCACACACACACACACGCACGCAUUAACACUAAUCAGCCUGUUCUUCCUCCCUUCACCUCCACUUACCUCUUCAGUGAAAGAUCAAAUGAUUGUGUGUGUAAUACUGAUGGAUGAGUGAGUAAGGAUUGCAAGGAAAAUGUACAUGUUACCAAUGAGCCAUACAUUCAAUGUGCACUUCCUGGUUUCUGUUUUACCAGCAUGUCUGCAACACAUCUCCCAUUUAGCGACCUCACGUGCAUUGUCCCAUCAUAGUUUGGAAAAGCAUGUGCAUGCACUGUCUCUGGUCCUUUUCAUCAUGCUUUACUCAGACACUUAACUGAAUGGCCACACCAAGUAGCAGUGGUACAAUCACAGUCUGGAUAUCAUGGC
ensembl:lncRNA